GCCAGCGUGGUGUAGUGGUUUGAGCAUUGGACUAUGACUCCUAACACCAAGGUUCGAAUCCUGGCUCAGUAA